GGAUUAGAUACCCUGGUAGUCCUUGCCGUAAACGAUGCAUACUUGGUGUAGUUGGACUCAACCCCGACUGUGCCGUAGCUAACGCGUUAAGUAUGCCACCUGGGGAGUACGCCCGCAAGGGUGAAACUCAAAAGAAUUGACGGGGGCCCGCACAAGCAGUGGAGCAUGUGGUUUAAUUCGAUGCAACGCGAAGAACCUUACCCAGGCUUGACAUGUUUAGGACCGCACUAGAGAUAGUGUUUCCCGCAAGGGCCUUUACACAGGUGCUGCAUGGCUGUCGUCAGCUCGUGUCG
rnacentral:rRNA from 1 species